AACAUACAGCUUCAACAAUCGUACAACCAUAGACAACUCAACAAGCGGCUCCACCCAACGACCCUACAACCAAUCCGACCUGUAUCCACCAUGGAUUCCUUGAAGCUUCCCGAAGUGGGACAGCUUGUUCAAAUUAAUGAUUGUGCUGUUGCAGCUCCUAUUAUCUUUUAAAUUUUGAAAUUUUUCCUUCUUUAGCAAAAAGCCAGAACACUCACUCCGUAAAUUCUGGGCUUUCGUUAUAAUUCCUUGUCCCACAUGAUUUGGCUCCCCCAUUUUUUUUUUGAUCUAUUAAAAGCUCAAUCAGAAAGGGAGAACAGAAAAAAAAAAAAAAAAAAGGAAGAAAUAGAGAAGAGCAGAGGAAGAAGAGGCAUCAGCUAUCAAAAUUAAUUUGAAUUACUAUUUCUAUCCAGUCAUUUUUUGCUCUUUUCCCGAAAUUAAGGUCCGAGUCUGAGUUUGGAUUUUCGACGGAAAUCCUUAGUUCGUUGCUAUGCAAAAGGUUCUGAGGCUCAGUCUAGGGAUCCAGACAAGCAGUAGAUAGUUUAGACAGCAGAAGAGGUUGUGCAGAGUUCAGGGGUGAGCCUUCUAUGUUCCAGAAGGCCUUAUUGUGUUCAGUUGUUUUAGCAUACAUGGUGUUUGUUGACACCUAAUUUUGUCCCUCCCCGAUAUCAAUUUUAUUCAUUUUUACCUCACUUUAUCAUACACCCUUACCCAUGUGAUUAUACCCCACAAAAAUACAAAGAAAAAAUAAUAACAAACCCACUAACAAACUUAAUCCUCAAUUAUUCUUUUGGUAACAAAAUUAACCACUCCUCCUAUCAAUUUUGGACAACACGUCACCACCCCACACCCUACCCCACUACCCACCCACGUGACCCCUCACAGUAUCACCUUUCAUAUAUACAUACACACAUAGGGAACAAGAAACACACAGAUUCACACCUCAUAUACAACAAUAAUAUACAAACCCACAUCAUCAUCUCCAUAUUUCUCUUCUACAUAAUACACCAUUAACCUCACCAUUAACGAACAGCUUCCUCACCAUUCCAACAGCUCACACAUCUCUCUCGCAGAUCUAUGCACGAAAUCACAUGCGUAUAAGGUGAGUAAACUGAAAAUGAAGAGAGCUUCGAGGGAGUUUCGGUCAGUUUCUUUGAGAUUUUCCGGCUAAGUUUUGGUGGAAUCAGUUAGGUUCGUCAUUCGCUCGUUCCAAUUCCAAAAUCUCCAUUUUUUCUCUCUCGUCAUUUCUUUUUUUAUUUCCAGGCGAACCCAGUUGGUAAACGUCAAAAGUAAUCGGAAUUUGCCUCGAUUCAUCUUCUUUGCAGCCACCUAAGCUCACCGAAGCUCGGGUACACUGUCCUUUGGCUCUGUUGUGUAUUGGAGUUUUGUGUUCAUAGUUUUGUUCGAAAUUAUCGAUUUAGGAGGUCGAAUUGAGUUUAUUCUUGCUGGUUUGGAACUUGUUUGGAUCGAUUCACGACCCUCGGGUGAACAACAGUAACCUUACCCUUUUUUGUUCAUCAGAAAUCGGUUUCGAGACCAGUCAACGUUGGGUACUGCAUUGGAUUUGGGUCAGUUAGUUCUUCGUGCUCUAUUUUGGAUUAGUUUUUCUCUAUACCGAGUUGGAUUCAUCGCAAUCGAGGUUUUCUAUUCGAGAUUCCAAGUGCGGAUCCUCUUUAAUAUUAUUACCCGCCGAAAUCGAUUAUCGGAAGGUCCAUUUUCUUUAACUCAUUCUCUCUUCUUUAUCGUAAUUUGUUGAAUUGGGCAUGUUUGAAAUUGGAUGAGUUGGUGAAUGUUUGAUGUUAUUCACGUGAAAUUUGUAUGAUUAUCAUGCUUUAAUUGUCAUUGGGUCUGUGUUGUUU